UCCAUAGGUGAAGGGGCGGCGGCCAUGGAGGAUUUGGGGGUGCGCGGUAUUGGAGUGGCACACCCGUGCUCAGGAGGCGAGGGGCGGCGGCCAUGGCGGCGGUGGGGGUAGCGCGGAUGCGGUGGUGGCGGAUGACGGCACUUAUCCCGAACUGCUGCCCCGUCGCUACGCUCUUUGUUUGCUUCGUCCUCGCCGAUCUCUCUGUCGCCGCCGCUGUCAUCUCCGACCUCCUUUCACGCUUGUCGUUGACAUCCCCAUCUUAAUGCUUCAUGCAGCAUUCCAGGUCUGGACGAACUCUAGCCCGACUCCGGGAUCUUCAACAACGGGAAAUGGCCAAGCGAUGGCAGAUGCUGGUCCUGCUGGGAAGGCUCCCAGCGGCAAGGACGAGGAUGACUCUGUGAUCUAAAGAUGAUGAAGACUGAUUUGAGAGAAAUCAUGGCUACCGAUUCUAGCUUCCUAGAAGAGAAAUUUUACAUGCUCUCCUUGCUUUCAGGUUCCCUGGCAAUGCAGUUUGGCAUUAGAUUUUUUGUUCAUCUAGUUUAUGGUGCGGUCUCACAAACUACUAAAACCUGGUGCUUUUUGGUGUUGGAUUGUACUCCAAGAACAUACAUCCUACGCUGCAGACCACUUUCUACCACUAUGUCCUUUUCUCUCAUAAUUGUUGGAGAUCAGUUUUAUACAUCCAUGACAGAAUCUGUGGGGUAGCUGAUACUGAUGCAUCGGCAGGCCCGAAUCUAGCUUCCUGGAUAUUCAUGUAAAUAUACAGGUCUGGAGGUGCAUGAAAUUAGCUGUAACUUUUCA